UAGGGAAUCUUCGGCAAUGGACGAAAGUCUGACCGAGCAACGCCGCGUGAGUGAAGAAGGUUUUCGGAUCGUAAAACCCUGUUGGUAGAGAAGAACGUUGGUGAGAGUGGAAAGCUCAUCAAGUGACGGUAACUACCCAGAAAGGGACGGCUAACUACGUGCCAA
rnacentral:rRNA from 1 species